rnacentral:rRNA from 1 species
AGUGAACGCUGGCGGUAGGCCUAACACAUGCAAGUCGAACGGCAGCACAGUAAGAGCUUGCUCUUACGGGUGGCGAGUGGCGGACGGGUGGGGAAUACAUCGGAAUCUACUUUUUCGUGGGGGAUAACGUAGGGAAACUUACGCUAAUACCGCAUACGACCUACGGGUGAAAGCAGGGGAUCUUCGGACCUUGCGCGAUUGAAUGAGCCGAUGUCGGAUUAGCUAGUUGGCGGGGUAAAGGCCCACCAAGGCGACGAUCCGUAGCUGGUCUGAGUGGAUGAUCAGCCACACUGGAACUGAGACACGGUCCAGACUCCUACGGGAGGCAGCAGUGGGGAAUAUUGGACAAUGGGCGCAAGCCUGAUCCAGCCAUACCGCGUGGGUGAAGAAGGCCUUCGGGUUGUAAAGCCCUUUUGUUGGGAAAGAAAAGCAGCAGGUUAAUACCCCGCUGUUCUGACGGUACCCAAAGAAUAAGCACCGGCUAACUUCGUG